AGAGAUUUAGGUUAACAUAAACCAAGAGCCUUCAAAGCCCUAAACAUGAGUAUAAAUACUCCUAAUCUCUG
rnacentral:tRNA from 1 species